rnacentral:misc_RNA from 1 species
UCCGGUUUAUCACCGGCAGUCUCCUUUGAGUUCCCGACAUUACUCACUGGCAACAAAGGAUAAGGGUUGCGCUCGUUGCGGGACUUAACCCAACAUUUCACAACACGAGCUGGCGACAGCCAUGCAGCACCUGUCUCACGGUUCCCGAAGGCACUAAGGCAUCUCUGCCGAAUUCCGUGGAUGUCAAGGCCAGGUAAGGUUCUUCGCGUUGCAUCGAAUUAAACCACAUGCUCCACCGCUUGUGCGGGCCCCCGUCAAUUCAUUUGAGUUUCGGUCUUGCGACCGUACUCCCCAGGCGGAGUGUUUCACGCGUUAGCUGGGCCCCUGAUCCACGUAAACCAAGGGCGAACACUCAUCGUUUACGGCAUGGACUAC